rnacentral:rRNA from 1 species
GAUGAACGCUGGCGGCGUGCUUAAUACAUGCAAGUCGAACGAUGAAGCCCAGCUUGCUGGGUGGAUUAGUGGCGAACGGGUGAGUAACACGUGAGUAACCUGCCCUUAACUCUGGGAUAAGCCUGGGAAACUGGGUCUAAUACCGGAUAGGAGCGCCUACCGCAUGGUGGGUGUUGGAAAGAUUUAUCGGUUUUGGAUGGACUCGCGGCCUAUCAGCUUGUUGGUGAGGUAAUGGCUCACCAAGGCGACGACGGGUAGCCGGCCUGAGAGGGUGACCGGCCACACUGGGACUGAGCCACGGCCCAGACUCCUCCGGGAGGCAGCAGUGCGGAAUAUUGCACAAUGGGCGCAAGCCUGAUGCAGCGCCGCCGCGUGAGGGAUGACGGCCUUCGGGUUGUAAACCUCUUUCCGUAGGGACGAAGUGAAAGUGACGGUACCUGCAGAAGAAGCACCGGCUAACUACGUG